GAUGAACGCUGGCGGCGUGCCUAAUACAUGCAAGUCGAGCGGACGGACGAGGCGCUUGCUGUUCUGAUGUUAGCGGAGGACGGGAGAGAAACACGUGGAAAACCCACCUAUAAGACUGGGAAAACUACGGGAAACGGGCGAAUACACCGGAUAAUAUUUUGAACCGCAGGGGGGAAAAGAGAAAGACGGUCGUGCGGUCACGUAUAGAGGGAUCCGCGCUGCAUUAGCUAGUUGGUAAGGUAACGGCUUAUCAAGGCAACUAUGCCUAGCCGACCUGUGAGCGUGGUCGCCCGCCCGGGAGCUGAGCCACGCUCCAGACUCCUGCGGGACGGACCAGUCGGGAACCUUCCGCAGCGGUCGGAAGCCUGACGGAGCAGCGCCGCGCCAGUUAUGACGGUCCUCCGAUCGUAAUGCUCUGUUAUGAGUGAUAAACCUAUGUGUCAGUUGCUGUACCCAGCUUGACGGUACCUGGUCAAAAAGCCCCGGCUAACUACGUG
rnacentral:rRNA from 1 species